UAUCUUACAUGAUUAGUUUGUUUGUUUUGUGUAUGCGCACUGUGGAUCGUAAGCGCUAAUUAAUUAUUUUAAAAAUACAUACCGAUAGAAAUAACGUAUUCAUCGCACUUAAGGGCUCAGCCACAGCGGUCGCGAAUUUCGACGGGACACAAUCCACCUAAACAUUGAGUCUAUUGUUGGACCUCUUGCCGUUAGGUUUUUUGUGAACCACACCCACUCAACUUAUUAGGCUCAUCCCAACUCAACUUAUUAGUCUAGACCUAUUAUUAUUAUUAUUAUUAUUUUGAGAGAAAGGUAUUAUACUAUCCACUUCAUUUAUUUCAUUUAGAAAUAAACUUAGCUAGAAAUGUGAAUUAAUUAAGAUUCGAAUUUGGGUCUCGAGUACCAACCACCAAACUCUUUUAGGCCUAUUAUUAAGGAGCAGAAAGUUGGACAUAUUUUAGUCUAAUAAUAAAAUAGCGAACAUGUGCGUGUGUGUGUGAGAGAGAGAGAGAGAGAGAGAGAGAGCAAACUAUGCACUGCACUAUAUUAUGGGUUAAUUCCUGUUAAAUAUAAUAUAAAAAUAUUUAAAUAAUAUUCUUUAAUAAUUUAAGUUUUUAGAGAAUAACGGUUGUUUCAUAUAAUUUAACAUGAUAUCAGAAUAAUAAAUCCUGAGUUCGAAUCACGACAGGCUCCUAACAUUAUUAAUUUUUUUUCAUGUAAUUCAAAUUCACGUCAUAAACCUACAAAGAGUCUCGAGCAUAGAUAACGAUUGCUUCAGUUCCAUUCAUAAC
rnacentral:lncRNA from 1 species